CACCCCGGUCAUAGGCAGCAGGAAACACCCGAUCCCGUCAGAUCUCGGAAGUUAAGCUGCUGCCGCCGUUGGGAGUACUGGGGUCUGCGGCCCCGGGAAACCGCGGUGCUGGGGUGC
rnacentral:rRNA from 3 species